CAACAUUUUUCUUGUAAUCACACAAAAGGUUAUUUUGAACAAAAAAAAAAUUCUGCCCAUGGCAAAAUGUUUAGAAUUGCAAGAAAUUAGGUUUAAAACUGCAAAAUGUUCUCUUCCCAAGGCAAAUGAAUACAAUUUCAGGAAAUUGGCUUUAAAACUGCAACAUUUGACAACACUUGAUAUGUCCGGACGUGCACCGCAGAAGUCACAGUAAAACUGCUUUUUAUCUCACGCUAAAGUAGGAGUUGUGUUCUGAUAUUAUGAGGGUGUCCCUGAUGAAUUUGCUAUCACAAAAGGGGUCCAUGGUGCAAACCAGUUUGGGAACACCUGACCUUGUCCAUGUGGUUGUUUUUGUCUACAUAUUAGUGACUGAUUCACAGGUUAGGCACCUUAUACAAGGGUUAAAGGUCAGGCUAGUCUUAAUGUAAAUGCCAAGACAAGAAUCUGGAGAUUUAGUACUUAUCAUUGUUUGAUGGCAUAGGCCUACAAACAACCACACAAAGCAAUCAUGCUCUGUCUAAAAAUGCUAUUAUGAAUUUGCACUUAGAUUUCUACCAGUACAUAAAUAUGGUAAUAUGUCUUCUUGAGAGUGGGGGAUGGGGUUCAAGGUAAAUUCAAGGAAACUAGACUUACAUUUCCUCAUGGUGUCCUCUGUUUUUUUUAAUGCUUACUAAUGAUGGCACUGAAUGGAAUGUUGACAAACUUGUUGGUGAACAAGAUACGGUCUCUCACUGAGAAAUCAACUGCUUGAAUUUAUUAUUAUUUUUCCUUUAUUUAACUAGGCAAGUCUGUUAAGAACAAAUUCUUAUUUACAAUGACAGCCUAGGAACAGUGGGUUAACUGCCUUGUUCAGGUGCAGAACGACAGAUUUUUACCUUGUCAGCUCAGGGAUUCGAUCUAGCAACCUUUCGGUUACUGGCCCAACGCUCUAACCAAUAGGCUACCUGCCACCCCAUUUGCACCAUAUUUGAUAAGCAAAUAUGGUGCAAAUAAACAAACGGCGAACUUCAGUGUCACUUUUUGCUGAAGGAGUGAAAUAUGUCUGCAGGUUAACUUUCUGGUAAACUAGUCAUUCACUUUUAAGUCUUCAUGUUUGUACUCGUGGUUACUGUAGGCUGGUAAUCGCAGGAGUCUCUCUGGGGGAGGAGAGGAGAGAAGCCCUGCCUCCAAAGUAUUUCUGGGGAGAACAACUCUGAUGAACACAUGGGCAAAAUCCAACCAGAGAGACCAGACUCACCUGUACCCAGCUGUGUGUCCAUGAAGAGGGAACCUAUAGAGAGAACCUAUAGAGAUUAGACAGGGACCAUUCACUCCUAAAAAUAGGGAUCAAUCCAACUCCCCUGUACCUAGCUGUGUGUCCAUGAAGAGUAACCAGUCCAUUAGAGAACCUAUAGAAUUCAGAGAAGGACCUUUUCAAACUAACCAAAGGGUCCAGCAGGAGAGACCAGACUCCCCUGUACCCAGUGGUAUAUCCAUGAAGAGUGACCAGUCUUGUUCCUUGUCCAUGGUGCAAACCAGUUUGGGAACACCUGACCUUGUCCAUGUGGUUACACAGAUGAGAAGAGUUACUAACAGUCGCUAUAUAUCUGUGAUUGGGGCAGCCUUAACCACCAUAAAAAAUAUCUUUUGACAUGUAGCCUAAAUGUUUUAUGACUUGUUUGGUUAUUCAGAUGAGCUUGCUAUGGUCUGGCGAGAAACUCAAAUCUACCUCGAAGAAGAAGUUUCAACAUGAAUUUGAGCGAAUUGGGGACCAAGGAAAUCCAACAAGACGUCUCAACCAGAUCUACACAGACCUCUACAUCACAGAGGGUGAAAGUGGAGAGGUCAACAGUGAACAUGAAGUGAGACAGAUCGAGAAAACAUCCAGCAACACAAGAGUCACCAAUCAAAUACAACAACAUCUUUAAAUCGUUAUCCGGACAAGACACACCAAUCAUAAGUGUGAUGACCAAGGGAGUAGCUGGCAUUGGAAAAACAUUCUCUGUGCAGAAGUUCAUUCUGGACUGGGCUGAAGGAAAAGCAAAUAAAGACAUCCAGUUAGUAUUCCCGUUCCCUUUUCGGGAGCUGAAUUUGAUGAAAGGAAACAAGCACAGUUUGAAUGAGCUUCUUGGUCAUUUUAUCAUGGGGAUGAAAAACGUUGAUUCCUCUGACUAUGACAAGUGCAACGUUUUGUUUGUCUUUGAUGGUCUGAAUGAGUGCAGACUUCUUCUAGACUUCCAGAACAAUAAGAGCUGUUGUGACGUCACAGAGUCCACUUCGGUAGAUGUGCUGCUUACAAACCUCAUCAAGGGGAAUCUGCUUCCUUUUGCUCUUAUCUGGAUAACCUCCUGACCUGUAGCAGCCAAUCAGAUCCAUUCUCAGUAUAUUGACCUGCUGACAGAGGUAUGAGGAUUCAACAACCCUCAGAAGGAGGAGUACUUCCGGAAGAGAAUCAAUGAUGAGAACCUGGCCAAUAGAGUCAUCACACACAUGAAGUCAUCAAGGAGCCUUUUUAUCAUGUGCCACAUACCAGUGUUAUGUUGGAUCUCUGCCACAGUUCUAGAGAGAAUUUUGGAUGAAGCAGUGAGUGCGGACAUCCCCAAAACUCUGACUCAAAUGUGCACGCACUUCCUGAUUUUUCAGACCAAACAGUGGAAUCAGAAGUACGUUGGAGAGCGAAGUGGAGAUCCUCUGUGGAUGAGGGAGAGCAUCCUGUCGCUGGGAAAACUGGCAUUCCAGCAACUAGAGAAAGGCAAUCUAAUAUUCUACGAGGAAGAUCUAAAUGAGUGUGGAAUUGAUAUCAGAGAAGCAUCAGUCUACUCAGGAUUGUGCACACAGAUCUUCAGAGAGGAGUUACAGAGAUCCUAAUCCAGUAAACUCAGAAAAUCAUCAUUUGGACACAAAACUUGACUGACUUACACCGGAGUGCAGUUGAUCAGGCCUUACAGAGUGAGAAUGGAGAUAUGGACCUGUUCCUCUGCUUCCUUCUUGGCCUCUCGCUGGAGUCUAAUCAGACUAUCCUACACGGUCUACUGACAGAAUCAGGAAGCAGCUCAACCAGCAUGGAGGGAACAGUCAAGUACAUCAGAAAGAAUCUCUCUCCAGAUAGGUGCAUCAAUCUGUUCCACUGUCUAAAUGAGCUGAAUGACUAUUCUCUAGGGGAAGAGAUCCAAUGCUACCUGAGAUCAGGAAGUCUCUCAGAAGGCAAACUCUCACCUGCACAGUGGUCAGCUCUGUUGUUUGUGUUGCUUUCUUCAGAAGGGGAGCUAGAUGUGUUUGACCUGAGGAAAUACUCCACAUCAGAGGAGGGUCUUCUAAGGCUGCUGCCAGUAGUCAAAGCAUCCAGAAAAAGCUCUGUUAAUACCAGAUCAAAAUCACAGAAUAUGAAAUGAUACUUGCUCAGAUUGAGUAACCCAAUGUGUUUGUUCUUCAACACUAUUUUGUAUUUUAGGCUGAAUCAGUGUAAGAGAUGCUGUGAAGAGUUGACCUCAACUCAAACUCCUCACCUGAGAGAGCUGGACCUGAGUCACAAUAACCUGCUGGAUUCAGGAGUGAAGCUGCUUUGUGUCGGACUUGGGAAUCCACACUGUAAACUACAGAUACUACAGUCAAUAUUCAUUCCGUUCUGGGAUAGAUCAUUAUUUUUACAAUAUCAUGGUCAUUUUAACAGUGAAAAACAUUCCAUCAACUAUUUUGUAUUUUAGGCUGAAUCAAUGCUACAUCACAGAGAGAUGCUGUGAAGCGUUGGCCUCAGCUCUCAGCUCAAACUCCUCACACCUGAGAGAGCUGGACCUGAGUCACAAUGACCUGCAGGACUCAGGAGUUAAGCUGCUCUCUGCUGGACUGGAAAAUCUACACUGUCAACUGAAGACUGGCAUACAUGUCCCCUCCUCUCUCUCUAAAAGAGUAGGGGUGUAUCUUGACUGGCUGGCUGGCACUCUCCUUCUACAGAGUUGUCUCUGCUGGAUUGACCCACCUGUACACCUUCCGUACCACAUUCGCUGAGCCUCUCUACCCAGUAUUUACUCUUUGGGAUGGCUCCUCUGUGUCCCUGUGCUCCAGGCGAAACAACCUUUAGUGUCUUGGAACACCCUUAAGUCUUCACAGGUUUCACAUGCUUUACUGUUGUUAAUACGUCCUUGUGUGGAACAUGGCUUCUCACAUAGCUAGACACUUUUGUGUAUAUGAAGUGCUAUUGAAGCAGUUAUUAUUCCCUGUAAUUUAAAUCUAAAUAAUGUGCAAUGUUUAUGAUUAAUGCUAUUCUGUAGAUGAUUAACUUCUGUUUUAUAUUGCCUUUGCUGUAGUUUUCCAUAUCUUGAAUUAAUAUUAAUACUGGGUUUGUCAGAACAACAACCAUCAUUGAGUUGGACUCUCAAUCCUUAUGGUGUAAAACUCCAUCACACAUUUGAUCUUUGAGUGAAGAUUAGAAACUGUUAGCUGUUGUAUUUAAAAAUACUUUGGCUGGCACAGGUUGUUGAUAAGGCUUGUACACGUUGGUUUACAUUACAUAAUGCUUUUUAUCCAUCAGAGUAUAAACUGGGGGCUGCCACGGCACCUCUCCUGUCCCGCUGACUCACCUCUGAACCCCCCAAAAACUGACCUUAGACCAGCGUCAACUUUAAGCAGGGAUUUCUCCUAUAGAGCUCCAUUUUUAUGGAAUGGUCUGCCUACCCAUGUCAGAGAUGCAAACUUGGUCUCAACCUUUAAGUCUUUACUGAAGACUCAUCUC